UACGUAGGGGGCAAGCGUUGUCCGGAUUUAUUGGGCGUAAAGAGCGUGUAGGCGGCCAGGCAGGUCCGCUGUGAAAACUCGAGGCUCAACCUCGAGAGGUCGGUGGAAACCGUCUGGCUAGAGUCCGGAAGAGGAGAGUGGAAUUCCCGGUGUAGCGGUGAAAUGCGCAGAUAUCGGGAAGAACACCCGUGGCGAAGGCGGCGCUCUGGACCGAGACUGACGCUGAGGCGCGAAAGCGUGGGGAGCAAACAGG
rnacentral:rRNA from 1 species